GACGAACCGUGCGAACGUUAUUCGGAAUCACUGGGCUUAAAGGGCGCGUAGGCGGGUCAUCAAGUCCGGGGUGAAAGCCCACGGCCCAACCGUGGAAGUGCCUUGGAUACUGAAGACCUCGAGGGGGAUAGGGGCGUGCGGAACUCAGGGUGGAGCGGUGAAAUGCGUAGAUAUCCUGAGGAACACCGGUGGCGAAAGCGGCGCGCUGGAUCCCUUCUGACGCUGAGGCGCGAAAGCCAGGGGAGCAAACGGG
rnacentral:rRNA from 1 species